rnacentral:rRNA from 1 species
CAGCCGCCGCGGUAAUACGUAGGUGGCAAGCGUUGUCCGGAAUUAUUGGGCGUAAAGGGCUCGCAGGCGGUUUCUUAAGUCUGAUGUGAAAGCCCCCGGCUCAACCGGGGAGGGUCAUUGGAAACUGGGAAACUUGAGUGCAGAAGAGGAGAGUGGAAUUCCACGUGUAGCGGUGAAAUGCGUAGAGAUGUGGUGGAACACCAGUGGCGAAGGCGACUCUCUGGUCUGUAACUGACGCUGAGGAGCGAAAGCGUGGGGAGCGAACAGGAUUAGAUACCCGUGUAGUCCCUGUCUCUUAUAC